CUACGGGACGCUCCAGUGGGGAAUAUUGCACAAUGGAGGAAACUCUGAUGCAGCAACGCCGCGUGGAGGAUGACACUUUUCGGAGCGUAAACUCCUUUUAUAUAGGAAGAAGAUGACGGUACUAUAUGAAUAAGCGCCGGCUAACUCCGUGCCAGCAGCCGCGGUGAAUACGGAGGGUGCAAGCGUUACUCGGAAUCACUGGGCGUAAAGAGCGUGUAGGCGGAUUAAAAAGUCAGAAGUGAAAUCCUAUAGCUUAACUAUAGAACUGCUUCUGAAACUCUUAAUCUAGAAUAUGGGAGAGGUAGAUGGAAUUUCUGGUGUAGGGGUAAAAUCCGUAGAGAUCAGAAGGAAUACCGAUUGCGAAGGCGAUCUACUAGAACAUUAUUGACGCUGAGACGCGAAAGCGUGGGGAGCAAACAGGAUUAGAUACCCUAGUAGUC
rnacentral:rRNA from 1 species